rnacentral:rRNA from 1 species
UACAGAGGGUGCAAGCGUUGUUCGGAAUUAUUGGGCGUAAAGGGAGUGUAGGCGGUUCGUUAAGUCUUCUGUGAAAUCUACGGGCUUAGCCUGUAACGUGCAGAGGAAACUAGCGGACUUGAGUGUCGGAGAGGAUAGGGGAAUACCCAGUGUAGAGGUGAAAUUCGUAGAGAUUGGGUGGAACACCAGUGGCGAAGGCGCCUAUCUGGCUGACAACUGACGCUGAGACUCGAAAGCAUGGGGAGCAAACAGG